rnacentral:lncRNA from 1 species
GUGCUUGAGGCCGUUCCCGAGACAGAGGCCGUGCCUGAGGCUGCUGAAGAGGCUGUCAAGGAGGUGGAACCGGCCGAGCCAGUCGUAGCUCAAGUACCAACCGCGAAAGUGGAUGACGUUUUACCCACACACGAGGAAAUCAAGGAGGAAGAGAGCAUAGAGCCGGCCAAGGUGGCUGUGGAUGACCAGGUGGAGAAUGUCGAGCCCAGGGAGAGUGCUUCAGUCGCGAUCCUGCAGGAGGGAGAAAAGUUGGCAGUGCCAGAGAUCGAGAGUGGUGCACCGGAUUCCAUGCAUGCGACAGAUGCCACAGUGGACGACACACAGCGAGCACCUCCUGCCAGUGAGGACAUUCACGACAACGUGGAAGAGGAGCAAAGCAAAGUCGAGGUGCAGCAUGAAGUUUCCGAACGCGAGGUCGAGCUUGCUGUCCCAGUAGAAGAACUCCCACAGUCGGGGAACGAAGAAGUCCAGGACCCACAGCCUGUGCUUGAGGCCGUUCCCGAGCUUGAGGCCGUGCCUGAGGCUGCUGAAGAGGCUGCCAAAGAGGUGCAACCAGCCGAGCCAGUUGUAGCUCAAGUACCAACCGCGAAAGUGGAUGACGUCUUACCCGCACACGAGGAAAUCAAGGAGGAAGAGAGCAUAGAGCCGGCCAAGGUGGCUGUGGAUGACCAGGUGGAGAAUGUCGAGCCCAGGGAGAGUGCUUCAGUCGCGAUCCUGCAGGAGGGAGAAAAGUUGGCAGUGCCAGAGAUCGAGAGUGGUGCACCGGAUUCCAUGCAUGCGACAGAUGCCACAGUGGACGACACACAGCGAGCACCUCCUGCCAGUGAGGACAUUCACGAGAACGUGGAAGAGGAGCAAAGCAAAGUCGAGGUGCAGCAUGAAGUUUCCGAACGCGAGGUCGAGCUUGCUGUCCCAGUAGAAGAACUCCCACCGUCAGGGAACGAAGAAGUCCAGGAGCCACAGCCUGUGCUUGAGGCCGUUCCCGAGACAGAGGCCGUGCCUGAGGCUUCUGAAGAGGAUGCCAAAGAGGUGCAACCAGCCGAGCCAGUUGUAGCUCAAGUACCAACUGCGAAAGUGGAUGACGUCUUACCCGCACACGAGGAAAUCAAGGAGGAAGAGAGCAUAGAGCCGGCCAAGGUGGCUGUGGAUGACCAGGUGGAGAAUGUCGAGCCCAGGGAGAGUGCUUCAGUCGCGAUCCUGCAGGAGGGAGAAAAGUUGGCGGUGCCAGAGAUCGAGAGUGGUGCUCCAGAUUCCAUCCAUGUGACAGAUGCCACAGUGGACGACACACAGCGAGCACCUCCUGCCAGUGAGGACAUUCACGACAACGUGGAAGAGGAGCAAAGCAAAGUCGAGGUGCAGCAUGAAGUUUCCGAACGCGAGGUCGAGCUUGCUGUCCCAGUAGAAGAACUCCCACCGUCAGGGAACGAAGAAGUCCAGCAGCCACAGCCUGUGCUUGAGGCCGUUCCCGAGACAGAGGCCGUGCCUGAGGCUUCUGAAGAGGAUGCCAAAGAGGUGCAACCAGCCGAGCCAGUUGUAGCUCAAGUACCAACCGCGAAAGUGGAUGACGUCUUACCCGCACACGAGGAAAUCAAGGAGGAAGAGAGCAUAGAGCCGGCCAAGGUGGCUGUGGAUGACCAGGUGGAGAAUGUCGAGCCCAGGGAGAGUGCUUUAGUCGCGAUCCUGCAGGAGGGAGAAAAGUUGGCAGUGCCAGAGAUCGAGAGUGCUGCACUGGAUUCCAUGCAUGCGACAGAUGCCACAGUGGACGACACACAGCGAGCAUCUCCUGCCAGUGAGGACAUUCACGACAACGUGGAAGAGGAGCAAACCAAAGUCGAGGUGCAGCAUGAAGUUUCGGAACGCGAGGUUGAGCUUGCUGUCCCAGUAGAAGAACUCCCACCGUCAGGGAACGAAGAAGUCCAGGAGCCACAGCCUGUGCUUGAGGCCGUUCCCGAGACAGAGGCCGUGCCUGAGGCUUCUGAAGAGGAUGCCAAAGAGGUGCAACCAGCCGAGCCAGUUGUAGCUCAAGUACCAACCGCGAAAGUGGAUGACGUCUUACCCGCACACGAGGAAAUCAAGGAGGAAGAGAGCAUAGAGCCGGCCAAGGUGGCUGUGGAUGACCAGGUGGAGAAUGUCGAGCCCAGGGAGAGUGCUUCAGUCGCGAUCCUGGACGAGGGAGAAAAGUUGGCUGUGCCAGAGAUUGAGAGUGCUGCACCGGAUUCCAUGCAUGCAACAGAUGCCACCCUGAAGGACACACAGCGAGCAUCUUCUGCCAGUGAAGACAUUCACGAGAAUGUGGAAGAGGAGCAAACCAACGUCGCAGUGCAACAUGAAGUUUCCCAACGCGAGGUUGAGAUUGCCAUACCAGUAGAGGGAAGCCCGCAGCUCGUGAACGAAGCCGUCCAGGAGCCACAGCCUGUGCCUGAGGCCGUUCCCGAGCAUGAGGCCGUGCCUGAAGCUGCCGAAGAGGCUGCCAUGGAGGUGGAACCGGCGGAGCCAGUCGUAGCUCAAGUACCAACUGCCACAGUGGAUGACGUCUUACCCACACACGAGGAAAUCAAUGAGGAAGAGAGCAUAGAGCCGGCCAAGGUGGCUCUGGAUGACAAGGUAGAGAAUGUCGAGCCCCGGGAGAGUGCUUCAGUCGCGAUCCUGGACGAGGGAGAAAAGUUGGCUGUGCCAGAGAUUGAGAGUGCUGCACCGGAUUCCAUGCAUGCAACAGAUGCCACCCUGAAGGACACACAGCGAGCAUCUUCUGCCAGUGAAGACAUUCACGAGAAUGUGGAAGAGGAGCAAACCAACGUCGCAGUGCAACAUGAAGUUUCCGAACGCGAGGUUGAGAUUGCCAUAGCAGUAGAGGGACUCCCGCAGUUGGUGAACGAAGCCGUGCAGGAGCCACAGCCUGUGCCUGAGGCCAUUCCCGAGCAUGAGGCCGUGCCUGAAGCUGCCGAAGAGGCUGCCAUGGAGGUUGAACCGGCGGAGCCAGUCGUAGCUCAAGAACCAACUGCCACAGUGGAUGACGUCUUACCCACACACGAGGAAAUCAAUGAGGAAGAGAGCAUAGAGCCGGCCAAGGUGGCUGUGGAUGACCACGUGGAGAAUGUCAAGCCCAGGGAGAGUGCUUCAGUCGCGAUCCUGGACGAGGGAGAAAAGUUGGCGGUGCCAGAGACUGAGAGUGCUGCACCGGAUUCCAUGCAUGCAACAGAUGCCACCCUGGAGGACACACAGCGAGCAUCUUCUGCCAGUGAAGACAUUCACGAGAAUGUGGAAGAGGAGCAAACCAACGUCGCAGUGCCACAUGAAGUUUCCGAACGCGAGGUUGAGAUUGCCAUACCAGUAGAGGGACUCCCGCAGUUGGUGAACGAAGCCGUGCAGGAGCCACAGCCUGUGCCUGAGGCCGUUCCCGAGCAUGAGGCCGUGCCUGAAGCUGCCAAAGAGGCUGCCAUGGAGGUGGAACCGGCGGAGCCAGUCGUAGCUCAAGUACCAACUGCCACAGUGGAUGACAUCUUACCCGCACACGAGGAAAUCAAGGAGGAAGAGAGCAUAGAGCCGGCCAAGGUGGCUGUGGAUGACCACGUGGAGAAUGUCAAGCCCAGGGAGAGUGCUUCAGUCGCGAUCCUGGACGAGGGAGAAAAGUUGGCGGUGCCAGAGACUGAGAGUGCUGCACCGGAUUCCAUGCAUGCGACAGAUGCCACCUUGGAGGACACACAGCGAGCAUCUUCUGCCAGUGAAGACAUUCACCAGAAUGUGGAAGAGGAGAAAACCAACGUCGCAGUGCCACAUGAAGUUUCCGAACGCGAGGUUGAGAUUCCCGUCCCAGUAGAAGUACUCCUGCAGUCAGGGAACGAAGAAGUCCAGGAGCCACAGCAUGCGCUUGGGACCGUUCCCGAGCCAGAGGCCGUGCCUGAGGCUUCUGAAGAGGCUGCCAACGAGGUGGAGUCGGCCGAGCCAGUCGUAGCUCAAGAACCAACCGCCACAGUGGAUGACAUCUUACCCGCACACGAGGAAAUCAAGGAGAAAGAGAGCAUAGAGCCGGCCAAGGUGGCUCUGGAUGACCACGUGGAGAAUGUCGAGCCCAGGGAGAAUGCUUCAGUCGCGAUCCUGGACGAGGGAGAAAAGUUCGCGGUGCCAGAGAUCGAGAGUGGUGCAGCGGAUUCCAUGCAUGCGACAGAUGCCACAGUGGAGGACACACAGCGAGCAUCUUCUGCCACUGAAGAAAUUCACGAGAACGGGGAAGAGGAGCAAAGCAAUGUCGAAGUGCCACAUGAAGUUUCCGAAGGCAAAUUCGAUCUUGCUGUCCCAGUAGAAGAACUCCCACAGUCGGGGAACGAAGAAGUCCAGGAGCCACAGCUUGUGCUUGAGGCCGUGCCUGAGGCUUCUGAAGAGGCUGUCAAGGAGGUGGAACCGGCCGAGCCAGUCGUAGCUCAAGUACCAACCGCCACAGUGGAUGACAUCUUACCCGCACAUGAGGAAAUCAAGGAGGAAGAGAGCAUAGAGCCGGCCAAGGUGGCUCUGGAUGACAAGGUGGAGAAUGUCGAGCCCCGGGAGUGUGCUUUAGUCGCGAUCCUUGACGAGGGAGAAAAGUUGGCGGUGCCAGAGAUUGACAGUGCUGCACCGGAUUCCAUGCAUGCGACAGAUGCCACCGUGGAGGACACACAGCGAGCAUCUUCUGCCAGUGAAGACAUUCACCAGAACGUGGAAGAGGAGAAAACCAACGGUUACGUGCCACAUCAAGUAUCCGAACGCGAGGUUGAGAUUCCGAUCCCAGUAGAAGGACUCCCGCAGUCGGGGAACGAAGACGUCCAGGAGCCAGAGCAUGCGCUUGAGGCCGUUCCCGAGCCGGAGGCCGUGCCUGAGGCUUCUGAAGAGGCUGCCAACGAGGUGGAGUCGGCCGAGCCACUCGUAGCUCAAGUACCAACCGCCACAGUGGAUGACGUCUUACCCGCACACGAGGAAAUCAAGGAGAAAGAGAGCAUAGAGCCGGCCAAGGUGGCUCUGGAUGACCACGUGGAGAAUGUCGAGUCCAGGGAGAGUGCUUCAGUCGGGAUCCUGGACGAGGGAGAAAAGUUGGCGGUGCCAGAGAUUGACAGUGCUGCACCGGAUUCCAUGCAUGCAACAGAUGCCACCCUGGAGGACACACAGCGAGCAUCUUCUGCCAGUGAAGACAUUGACGAGAACGUGGAAGACGAACAAACCAACGUCGAGGUGCCACAUUUAGUUUCCGAACGCAAGGUCAAGCUUGCCGUCCCAGUAGAAGAACUCCCACAGUCAGGGAACGAAGAAGUCCAGGAGCCACAGCCUGUGCUUGAGGCCGUUUCCGAGCUUGAGGCCGUGCCUGAGGCUUCUGAAGAGGCUGUCAAGGAGGUGGAACCGGCCGAGCCAGUCGUAGCUCAAGUACCAACCGCCACAGUGGAUGACAUCUUACCUGCACACGAGGAAAUCAAGGAGGAAGAGAGCAUAGAGCCGGCCAAGGUGGCUCUGGAUGACAAGGUGGAGAAUGUCGAGCCCCGGGAGUGUGCUUCAGUCGCGAUCCUGCAGGAGGGAGAAGAGUUGGCGGUGCCAGAGAUCGAGAGUGGUGCACCGGAUUCCAUGCAUGCGACAGAUGCCACAGUGGAGGACACACAGCGAGCAUCUUCUGCCACUGAAGAAAUUCACGAGAACGGGGAAGAGGAGCAAAGCAAUGUCGAAGUGCCACAUGAAGUUUCCGAAGGGAAAUUCGAUCUUGCUGUCCCAGUAGAAGAACUCCCACAGUCGGGGAACGAAGAAGUCCAGGAGCCACAGCCUGUGCUUGAGGCCGUGCCUGAGGCUUCUGAAGAGGCUGUCAAGGAGGUGGAACCGGCCGAGCCAGUCGUAGCUCAAGUACCAACCGCCACAGUGGAUGACAUCUUACCCGCACAUGAGGAAAUCAAGGAGGAAGAGAGCAUAGAGCCGGCCAAGGUGGCUCUGGAUGACAAGGUGGAGAAUGUCGAGCCCCGGGAGAGUGCUUCAGUCGCGAUCCUGCAGGAGGGAGAAAAGUUGGCGGUGCCAGAGAUUGACAGUGCUGCACCGGAUUCCAUGCAUGCGACAGAUGCCACCGUGGAGGACACACAGCGAGCAUCUUCUGCCAGUGAAGACAUUCACGAGAAUGUGGAAGAGGAGCAAACCAACGUCGCAGUGCUACAUGAAGUUUCCCAACGCGAGGUUGAGAUUGCCAUACCAGUAGAGGGACGCCCGCAGCUCGUGAACGAAGCCGUCCAGGAGCCACAGCCUGUGCCUGAGGCCGUUCCCGAGCAUGAGGACGUGCCUGAAGCUGCCGAAGAGGCUGCCAUGGAGGUGGAACCGGCGGAGCCAGUCGUAGCUCAAGUACCAACUGCCACAGUGGAUGACAUCUUACCCACACACGAGGAAAUCAAGGAGGAAGAGAGCAUAGAGCCGGCCAAGGUGGCUGUGGAUGACCACGUGGAGAAUGUCGAGCCCAGGGAGAGUGCUUCAGUCGCGAUCCUGCAGGAGGGAGAAAAGUCGGCAGUGCCAGAGAUGGAGAGUGGUGCACCGGAUUCCAUGCAUGCAACCGAUGCCACAGUGGACGACACACAGCGAGCACCUCCUGCCAGUGAGGACAUUCACGAGAACGUGGAAGAGGAGCAAAGCAAAGUCGAGGUGCAGCAUGAAGUUUCCGAACGCGAGGUCGAGCUCGCUGUCCCAGUAGAAGAACUCCCACAGUCGGGGAACAAAGAAGUCCAGGAGCCACAGCAUGUGCUUGAGGCCGUUCCCGAGACAGAGGCCGUGCCUGACGCUGCUGAAGAGGCGGCCAAGGAGGUGCAACCGGCCGAGCCAGUUGUAGCUCAAGUACCAACCGCGACAGUGGAUGACGUCUUACCCGCACACGAGGAAAUCAAGGAGGAAGAGAGCAUAGAGCCGGCCAAGGUGGCUGUGGAAGACCACGUGGAGAAUGUCGAGCCCAGGGAGAGUGCUUCAGUCGCGAUCCUGCAAGAGGGAGAAAAGUUGGCAGUGCCAGAGAUGGAGAGUGGUGCACCGGAUUCCAUGCAUGCAACAGAUGCCACAGUGGACGACACACAGCGAGCACCUCCUGCCAGUGACGACAUUCACGAGAACGUGGAGGAGGAGCAAAGCAAAGUCGAGGUGCAGCAUGAAGUUUCCGAACGCGAGGUCGUGCUUGCUGUCCCAGUAGAAAAACUCCCACAGUCGGGGAACAAAGAAGUCCAGGAGCCACAGAAUGUGCUUGAGGCCGUUUUCGAGACAGAGGCCGUGCCUGAGGCUUCUGAAGAGGCUGCCAAAGAGGUGCAACCAGCCGAGCCAGUCGUAGCUCAAGUACCAACCGCCACAGUGGAUGACAUCUUACCCACACACGAAGAAAUCAAGGAGGAAGAGAGCAUAGAGCCGGCCAAGGUGGCUCUGGAUGACAAGGUACAGAAGGUCGAGCCCCGGGAGAGUGCUUCAGUCGCGAUCCUGGACGAGGGAGAAAAGUUGGCGGUGCCAGAGAUUGACAGUGCUGCACCGGAUUCCAUGCAUGCAACAGAUGCCACCCUGGUGGACACACAGCGAGCAUCUUCUGCCAGUGAAGACAUUCACGAGAAUGUGGAAGAGGAGCAAACCAACGUCGCAGUGCUACAUGAAGUUUCCCAACGCGAGGUUGAGAUUGCCAUACCAGUAGAGGGACGCCCGCAGCUCGUGAACGAAGCCGUCCAGGAGCCACAGCCUGUGCCUGAGGCCGUUCCCGAGCAUGAGGACGUGCCUGAAGCUGCCGAAGAGGCUGCCAUGGAGGUGGAACCGGCGGAGCCAGUCGUAGCUCAAGUACCAACUGCCACAGUGGAUGACAUCUUACCCGCACACGAGGAAAUCAAGGAGGAAGAGAGCAUAGAGCCGGCCAAGGUGGCUGUGGAUGACCACGUGGAUAAUGUCAAGCCCAGGGAGAGUGCUUCAGUCGCGAUCCUGGACGAGGGAGAAAAGUUGGCGGUCCCAGAGAUCGAGAGUGCUGCACCGGAUUCCAUGCAUGCAACAGAUGCCACCCUGGAGGACACACAGCGAGCAUCUUCUGCCAGUGAAGACAUUCACGAGAAUGUGGAAGAGGAGCAAACCAACGUCGCAGUGGAACAUGAAGUUUCCGAACGCGAGGUUGAGAUUGCCAUACUAGUAGAGGGACUCCCGCAGUUGGUGAACGAAGCCGUGCAGGAGCCACAGCCUGUGCCUGAGGCCGUUCCCGAGCAUGAGGCGGAGCCUGAAGCUGCCGAAGAGGCUGCCAUGGAGGUUGAACCGGCGGAGCCAGUCGUAGCUCAAGAACCAACUGCCACAGUGGAUGACGUCUUACCCACACACGAGGAAAUCAAUGAGGAAGAGAGCAUAGAGCCGGCCAAGGUGGCUGUGGAUGACCACGUGGAGAAUGUCAAGCCCAGGGAGAGUGCUUCAGUCGCGAUCCUGGACGAGGGAGAAAAGUUGGCGGUGCCAGAGAUUGAGAGUGCUGCACCGGAUUCCAUGCAUGCAACAGAUGCCACCCUGGAGGACACACAGCGAGCAUCUUCUGCCAGUGAAGACAUUCACGAGAAUGUGGAAGAGGAGCAAACCAACGUCGCAGUGCCACAUGAAGUUUCCGAACGCGAGGUUGAGAUUGCCAUACCAGUAGAGGGACUCCCGCAGUUGGUGAACGAAGCCGUGCAGGAGCCACAGCCUGUGCCUGAGGCCGUUCCCGAGCAUGAGGCCGUGCCUGAAGCUGCCAAAGAGGCUGCCAUGGAGGUGGAACCGGCGGAGCCAGUCGUAGCUCAAGUACCAACUGCCACAGUGGAUGACAUCUUACCCACACACGAGGAAAUCAAUGAGGAAGAGAGCAUAGAGCCGGCCAAGGUGGCUGUGGAUGUCCACGUGGAGAAUGUCAAGCCCAGGGAGAGUGCUUCAGUCGCGAUCCUGGACGAGGGAGAAAAGUUGGCGGUGCCAGAGAUUGACAGUGCUGCACCGGAUUCCAUGCAUGCAACAGAUGCCACCCUGGAGGACACACAGCGAGCAUCUUCUGCCAGUGAAGACAUUCACGAGAAUGUGGAAGAGGAGCAAACCAACGUCGCAGUGCAACAUGAAGUUUCCCAACGCGAGGUUGAGAUUGCCAUACCAGUAGAGGGAAGCCCGCAGCUCGUGAACGAAGCCGUCCAGGAGCCACAGCCUGUGCCUGAGGCCGUUCCCGAGCAUGAGGCCGUGCCUGAAGCUGCCGAAGAGGCUGCCAUGGAGGUGGAACCGGCGGAGCCAGUCGUAGCUCAAGUACCAACUGCCACAGUGGAUGACGUCUUACCCACACACGAGGAAAUCAAUGAGGAAGAGAGCAUAGAGCCGGCCAAGGUGGCUGUGGAUGACCACGUGGAGAAUGUCAAGCCCAGGGAGAGUGCUUCAGUCGCGAUCCUGGACGAGGGAGAAAAGUUGGCGGUGCCAGAGAUUGAGAGUGCUGCACCGGAUUCCAUGCAUGCGACAGAUGCCACCUUGGAGGACACACAGCGAGCAUCUUCUGCCAGUGAAGACAUUCACGAGAAUGUGGAAGAGGAGCAAACCAACGUCGCAGUGCCACAUGAAGUUUCCGAACGCGAGGUUGAGAUUCCCGUCCCAGUAGAAGUACUCCUGCAGUCAGGGAACGAAGAAGUCCAGGAGCCACAGCAUGCGCUUGGGACCGUUCCCGAGCCAGAGGCCGUGCCUGAGGCUUCUGAAGAGGCUGCCAACGAGGUGGAGUCGGCCGAGCCACUCGUAGCUCAAGAACCAACCGCCACAGUGGAUGACAUCUUACCCGCACACGAGGAAAUCAAGGAGAAAGAGAGCAUAGAGCCGGCCAAGGUGGCUCUGGAUGACCACGUGGAGAAUGUCGAGUCCAGGGAGAGUGCUUCAGUCGCGAUCCUGGACGAGGGAGAAAAGUUGGCGGUGCCAGAGAUUGACAGUGCUGCACCGGAUUCCAUGCAUGCAACAGAUGCCACCCUGGAGGACACACAGCGAGCAUCUUCUGCCAGUGAAGACGUUCACGAGAACGUGGAAGAGGAGCAAGCGAACGUCGCGGUGCCACAUCAAGUUUCCGAACGAGAGCUUGAGAUUGCCGUCCCAGUAGAAGGACUCCCACAGUUGGUGAACGAAGAAGUCCAGCAGCCACAGCCUGUGCUUGAGGCCGUUCCCGAGACAGAGGCCGUGCCUGAGGCUUCUGAAGAGGCUGCCAAAGAGGUGCAACCAGCCGAGCCACUUGUAGCUCAAGUACCAACCGCGAAAGUGGAUGACAUCUUACCCACACACGAGGAAAUCAAGGAGGAAGAGAGCAUAGAGCCGGCCAAGGUGGCUGUGGAUGACCACGUGGAGAAUGUCGAGCCCAGGGAGAGUGCUUCAGUCGCGAUCCUGCAGGAGGGAGAAAAGUUGGCGGUGCCAGAGAUUGAGAGUGCUGCACCGGAUUCCAUGCAUGCGACAGAUGCCACCCUGGAGGACACACAGCGAGCAUCUUCUGCCAGUGAAGACAUUGACGAGAACGUGGAAGAGGAGCAAACCAACGUUGACGUGCCACAUCCAGUAUCCGAACGCGAGCUUGAGAUUCCCAUUCCAGUAGAAGGACUCCCGCAGUUGGGGAACAUAGAAGUCCAGGAGCCAGAGCAUGCGCUAGAGGCCGUUCUCGAGCUAGGGGCCGUGCCUGAGGCUUCUGAAGAGGCUCCCAAGGAGGUGGAACCGGCCGAGCCAGUCGUAGCUCAAGUACCAACUGCCACAGUCGAUGAUGUCUUACCUGGACACGAGGAAAUCAAGGAGGAAGAGAGCAUAGAGCCGGCCAAGGUGGCUCUGGAUGACCAGGUGGAGAAUGUCGAGCCCAGGGAGAGUGCUUCAGUCGCGAUCCUGGAUGAGGGAGAAAAGUUGGCGGUGCCAGAGAUCGAGAGUGCUGCACCGGAUUCCAUGCAUGCGACAGAUGCCACCCUGGAGGACACACAGCGAGCAUCUUCUGCCAGUGAAGACAUUGACGAGAACGUGGAAGAGGAGCAAACCAACGUUGACGUGCCACAUCCAGUAUCCGAACGCGAGCUUGAGAUUCCCAUUCCAGUAGAAGGACUCCCGCAGUUGGGCAACAAAGAAGUCCAGGAGCCAGAGCAUGCGCUAGAGGCCGUUCUCGAGCUAGAGGCCGUGCCUGAGGCUUCUGAAGAGGCUCCCAAGGAGGUGGAACCGGCCGAGCCAGUCGUAGCUCAAGUACCAACUGCCACAGUCGAUGACGUCUUACCCGGACACGAGGAAAUCAAGGAGGAAGGGAGCAUAGAGCCGGCCAAGGUGGCUGUGGAUGACCAAGUGGAGAAUGUCGAGCGCAGGGAGAGUGCUUCAGUCGCAAUCCCGGACGAGGGAGAAAAGUUGGCAGUGCCAGAGAUGGAGAGUGGUGCACCGGAUUCCGUGCAUGCGACAGAUGGCACAGUGGAGGAGUCACAGCGAGCAUCUCCUGCCAGUGAGGGCAUUCACGAAAACGUGGAAGAGGAGCAAACCAAAGUCGAGGUGCCAGAUGAAGUUUCCAAACGUGAGGUCAAGCUUUCCGUCCCAGUAGAAGAACUCCUGCAGUCAGGGAACGAAGCCGUCCAGGAGCCACAGCCUGUGCUUGAGGCCGUGCCUGAGGAUUCUGAAGAGGCUGCCAAGGAGGUGGAACCGGCCGAGGCAGUCGUAGCUCAAGUACCAACUGCCACAGUGGAUGACGUCUUACCUGCACACGAGGAAAUCAAGGAGGAAGAGAGCAUAGAGCCGGCCAAGGUGGCUCUGGAUGACCAGGUGGAGAAUGUCGAGCCCAAGGAGAGUGCUUCAGUCGCGAUCCUGGACGAGGGAGAAAAGUUGGCGGUGCCAGAGAUCGAGAGUGGUGCACCGGAUUCCAUGCAUGCGACAGAUGCCACAGUGGAGGACACACAGCGAGCAUCUUCUGCCAGUGAAGACGUUCACGAGAACGUGGAAGAGGAGCAAGCGAACGUUGCGGUGCCACAUCAAGUUUCCGAACGAGAGCUUGAGAUUGCCGUCCCAGUAGAAGGACUCCCACAGUUGGUGAACGAAGCCGUCCAGGAGCCACAACCUGUGCCUGAGGCCGUUCCCGAGCCAGAGGCCGUGCCUGAGGCUGCUGAAGAGGCUGCCAAGGAGGUGGAAGCGGCCAAGCCAGUCGUAGCUCAAGUACCAACCGCCACAGUGGAUGACAUCUUACCCACACACGAGGAAAUCAAGGAGGAAGGGAGCAUAGAGCCGGCCAAGGUGGCUCUGGAUGACCACGUGGAGAAUGUCGAGCCCAGGGAGAGUGCUUCAGUCGCGAUCCUGGACGAGGGAGAAAAGUUGGCAGUGCCAGAGAUCGAGAGUGGUGCACCGGAUUCCAUGCAUGCGACACAUGGUACAAUGGAGGACUCACAGCGAGCAUCUUCUGCCAUUGAGGACAUUCACGAGAACGUGGAAGAGGAGCAAACAAAAGUCGAGGUGCCACAUGAAGUUUCCGAACGCGAGGUCGAGCUUGCCGUCCCAGUGGAACAUCUCCCACAGUCAGGGAACGAAGAAGUCCAUGAGCCACAGCCUGUGCCUGAGGCCGUUCCCGAGCAUGAGGCCGUGCCUGAGGCUGCUGAAGAGGCUUCCAAGGAGGUGGAACCGGCCGAGCCAGUCGUAGAUGAAGUACCAACCGCCACAGUGGAUGACAUCUUACCCACACACGAGGAAAUCAAGGAGGAAGGGAGCAUAGAGCCGGCCAAGGUGGCUCUGGAUGACCAGGAGGAGAAUGUCGAGCCCAGGGAGAGUGCUUCAGUCGCGAUCCUGGACGAGGGAGAAAAGUUGGCGGUGCCAGAGAUCGAGAGUGGUGCACCGGAUUCCAUGCAUGCGACAGAUGCCACUGUGGAGGACUCACAGCGAGCAUCUUCUGCCAGUGAAGACAUUCACGAGAAUGUGGAAGAGGAGCAAACCAACGUUGACGUGCCACAUCAAGUAUCUGAACGCAAGGUUGAGAUUCCCGUCCCAGUAGAAGGACUCCCACAGUCAGGGAACGAAGAAGUCCAGGAGCCACAGCCUGUGCCUGAGGCCGUUUCCGAGCCAGAGGCCGUGCCUGAGGCUUCUGAAGAGGCUCACAAGGAUGUGGAAGCGGCCGAGCCAGUCGUAGCUCAAGUACCAACCGCCACAGUGGAUGACAUCUUACGCGCACACGAGGAAAUCAAGGAGGAAGAGAGCAUAGAGCCGGCCAAGGUGGCUCUGGAUGACCACGUGGAGAAUGUCGAGCCCAGGGAGAGUGCUUCAGUCGCGAUCCUGGACGAGGGAGAAAAGUUGGCGGUGCCAGAGAUUGAGAGUUGUGCACCGGAUUCCAUGCAUGCGACAGAUGCCACCGUGGAGGACACACAGCGAGCAUCUUCUGCCAGUGAAGACAUUAAUGAGAACGUGGAAGAGGAGCAAACAAAAGUGUAGGUGCCACAUGAAGUUUCCGAACGCGGGGUCGAGCUUGCCAUCCCAGUAGAAGAACUCCUGCAGUCAGGGAACGAAGCUGUCCAGGAUGCACAGCCUGUGCUUGAGGCCGUUCAGGCUUCUGAAGAGGCUGCCAACGAGGUGGAGUCGGCCGAGCCACUCGUAGCUCAAGUACCAACCGCCACAGUGGAUGACGUCUUACCCGCACACGAGGAAAUCAAGGAGAAAGAGAGCAUAGAGCCGGCCAAGGUGGCUCUGGAUGACCACGUGGAGAAUGUCGAGUCCAGGGAGAGUGCUUCAGUCGCGAUCCUGGACGAGGGAGAAAAGUUGGCGGUGCCAGAGAUUGACAGUGCUGCACCGGAUUCCAUGCAUGCAACAGAUGCCACCCUGGAGGACACACAGCGAGCAUCUUCUGCCAGUGAAGACAUUGACGAGAACGUGGAAGACGAACAAACCAACGUCGAGGUGCCACAUUUAGUUUCCGAACGCAAGGUCAAGCUUGCCGUCCCAGUAGAAGAACUCCCACAGUCAGGGAACGAAGAAGUCCAGGAGCCACAGCCUGUGCUUGAGGCCGUUUCCGAGCUUGAGGCCGUGCCUGAGGCUUCUGAAGAGGCUGUCAAGGAGGUGGAACCGGCCGAGCCAGUCGUAGCUCAAGUACCAACCGCCACAGUGGAUGACAUCUUACCUGCACACGAGGAAAUCAAGGAGGAAGAGAGCAUAGAGCCGGCCAAGGUGGCUCUGGAUGACAAGGUGGAGAAUGUCGAGCCCCGGGAGUGUGCUUCAGUCGCGAUCCUGCAGGAGGGAGAAGAGUUGGCGGUGCCAGAGAUCGAGAGUGGUGCACCGGAUUCCAUGCAUGCGACAGAUGCCACAGUGGAGGACACACAGCGAGCAUCUUCUGCCACUGAAGAAAUUCACGAGAACGGGGAAGAGGAGCAAAGCAAUGUCGAAGUGCCACAUGAAGUUUCCGAAGGGAAAUUCGAUCUUGCUGUCCCCGUAGAAGAACUCCCACAGUCGGGGAACGAAGAAGUCCAGGAGCCACAGCCUGUGCUUGAGGCCGUGCCUGAGGCUUCUGAAGAGGCUGUCAAGGAGGUGGAACCGGCCGAGCCAGUCGUAGCUCAAGUACCAACCGCCACAGUGGAUGACAUCUUACCCGCACAUGAGGAAAUCAAGGAGGAAGAGAGCAUAGAGCCGGCCAAGGUGGCUCUGGAUGACAAGGUGGAGAAUGUCGAGCCCCGGGAGUGUGCUUCAGUCGCGAUCCUGCAGGAGGGAGAAGAGUUGGCGGUGCCAGAGAUCGAGAGUGGGUCACCGGAUUCCAUGCAUGCGACAGAUGCCACCGUGGAGGACACACAGCGAGCAUCUUCUGCCAGUGAAGACAUUCACCAGAACGUGGAAGAGGAGAAAACCAACGGUUACGUGCCACAUCAAGUAUCCGAACGCGAGGUUGAGAUUGCCAUCCCAGUAGAAGGACUCCCGCAGUCGGGGAACGAAGACGUCCAGGAGCCAGAACAUGCGCUUGAGGCCGUUCAGGCUUCUGAAGAGGCUGCCAACGAGGUGGAGUCGGCCGAGCCACUCGUAGCUCAAGUACCAACCGCCACAGUGGAUGACGUCUUACCCGCACACGAGGAAAUCAAGGAGAAAGAGAGCAUAGAGCCGGCCAAGGUGGCUCUGGAUGACCACGUGGAGAAUGUCGAGUCCAGGGAGAGUGCUUCAGUCGCGAUCCUGGACGAGGGAGAAAAGUUGGCGGUGCCAGAGAUUGACAGUGCUGCACCGGAUUCCAUGCAUGCAACAGAUGCCACCCUGGAGGACACACAGCGAGCAUCUUCUGCCAGUGAAGACGUUCACGAGAACGUGGAAGAGGAGCAAGCGAACGUCGCGGUGCCACAUCAAGUUUCCGAACGAGAGCUUGAGAUUGCCGUCCCAGUAGAAGGACUCCCACAGUUGGUGAACGAAGAAGUCCAGCAGCCACAGCCUGUGCUUGAGGCCGUUCCCGAGACAGAGGCCGUGCCUGAGGCUUCUGAAGAGGCUGCCAAAGAGGUGCAACCAGCCGAGCCACUUGUAGCUCAAGUACCAACCGCGAAAGUGGAUGACAUCUUACCCACACACGAGGAAAUCAAGGAGGAAGAGAGCAUAGAGCCGGCCAAGGUGGCUGUGGAUGACCACGUGGAGAAUGUCGAGCCCAGGGAGAGUGCUUCAGUCGCGAUCCUGCAGGAGGGAGAAAAGUUGGCGGUGCCAGAGAUCGAGAGUGCUGCACCGGAUUCCAUGCAUGCGACAGAUGCCACCCUGGAGGACACACAGCGAGCAUCUUCUGCCAGUGAAGACAUUGACGAGAACGUGGAAGAGGAGCAAACCAACGUUGACGUGCCACAUCCAGUAUCCGAACGCGAGCUUGAGAUUCCCAUUCCAGUAGAAGGACUCCCGCAGUUGGGCAACAAAGAAGUCCAGGAGCCAGAGCAUGCGCUAGAGGCCGUUCUCGAGCUAGAGGCCGUGCCUGAGGCUUCUGAAGAGGCUCCCAAGGAGGUGGAACCGGCCGAGCCAGUCGUAGCUCAAGUACCAACUGCCACAGUCGAUGACGUCUUACCCGGACACGAGGAAAUCAAGGAGGAAGGGAGCAUAGAGCCGGCCAAGGUGGCUGUGGAUGACCAAGUGGAGAAUGUCGAGCGCAGGGAGAGUGCUUCAGUCGCAAUCCCGGACGAGGGAGAAAAGUUGGCAGUGCCAGAGAUUGAGAGUUGUGCACCGGAUUCCGUGCAUGCGACAGAUGCCACCGUGGAGGACACACAGCGAGCAUCUCCUGCCAGUGAAGACAUUAAUGAGAACGUGGAAGAGGAGCAAACAAAAGUCGAGGUGCCAGAUGAAGUUUCCAAACGUGAGGUCAAGCUUUCCGUCCCAGUAGAAGAACUCCUGCAGUCAGGGAACGAAGCUGUCCAGGAUGCACAGCCUGUGCUUGAGGCCGUUUCCGAGCUUGAGGCCGUGCCUGAGGCUGCUGAAGAGGCUGCCAAGGAGGUGGAACCGGCCGAGGCAGUCGUAGCUCAAGUACCAAUCCGCACAGUGGAUGACGUCUUACCCGCACACAAGGAAAUCAAGGAGGAAGAGAGCAUAGAGCCGGCCAAGGUCGCUGUGGAUGACCAUGUGGAGAAUGUCGAGCCCAGGGAGAGUGCUUCAGU